CCCUUUAGACCCUUAUCGUGCCUUGGGUCGCGAACGCGUUAAAAUAUAAUUUUUGUUCUCACCGACAUACUUUGCGGCAACUGAAAUAAGGAGAACGGAAAUUGGGGAAGCACUGUAACGGCUACUCACACAUAUGACAAGGGAGCGUCGACGCACACGGGAAGAAGGUGAAGAGCCGAACCAGAAGAAUCACGCAGGCGAGGGAAUCGGGAAACCUUGCAAUUGCGGGGCUGUCUGAGAAGGGGGUUCGCGCAUUCCUCGAGACGGGGAUCGGGUGGUAUCGAUGAAGGGUUGAGGUUGAGGGAUGCUUUUGGGAGAAGGGGCAUAAAGAAGCAGCUAGGGUUUCGACUGGAAGCAGGGAGGUUCUGGAUAUUCGCUUCCCAGGGUUUUGCGCAGAGAGUUUGGGGGUUUCUCGGUUUUCUUGUCGGAUUGUGGGGAAAAAAGGAGAGGGGGCUUCAGUCAAUUUUUUCCUUACCUAAUUCUCAGUGAAGAGCUAUCUCGGUUCAAGGAGAGGGAGCGAGAAGCAUUCAGUACAGGGGCGGUAACGCUCGAGUGAUUGACAUUUUCUCUGGAGUCCUCUUCUUCUUUCUGAUCAGCUCUCGAGAUGAGGAGAGAGAGUGUUUGACAUAAACGAAUAGUGUGAACGGAGAGAGAAACCGGAUUUUUCUGUUCCUUCUGUCAGGUUUCGAAAGAAGAGGAGAAUCGAGUGAAGAAGAGGAGAGACUUGUCAUAGUACACAGAAUAUCAGGGAGGGGAGAAUGAAAGCAGGGAGUAGAAUCUAAAGAAGAAGAAGAAGGAGAAGAAGAAAGGAAGCACAACCAGAUAAAGAAACAGGAACAGUAGUGUGGUAGUCUUCUACAGAAACUUGACAGCAAAUUGGUGCGUUUCCAUUGAACACCUCUUGCUUAAUUCAUGCAACUUGUCGAAGAGCUCUCCCUUGAGUGUAUAUUGGACUGAAUCAAGAUGAUUGUAUCUUACAUUGUCUUUGAUCUCAUGACUAUGAAUGCCUUUCAAUGAAAUUGUUUGGUGAUGUUUUAUAUUCAUGUUAUAAGCUGUUUGAAGAUCCUUCCGUUUUGUCUCUGGUUUUGUUUGAGAUUUACUCAUUAUUUUGGCUCAGUUAAAUGAAUAUUCAGAUGCUAAUUACUGUACUCAAAUUUUUUCCUGUAUUGAUUUCUUUCUCAUCUUAAUAAUGCUUCUUUUUCUAUUAAAAAAAUGCUUUUUUUUUCUUUUCUUUUUAUUCUCUUGAUAUGCAUCAUGCCUUCAGAUAUGGAUGCAAUAGUGGGGGUUUGGCAUGCAGGAUGUAUAAGUUUUCAUUCUAAUAUAGUUUAAAGAAUUGAUGUUGAGUUAUUGGUGAGAACUAGUUGUUCGUACAGUGUUCAAUGACCUGUAUCUGAUUGAAUGGAAAUGUUAAUGUUCCUCACUUUUUUUUGGUCCCAUCUAGUUUUAAUGAUGGACUGUGGUUUCCAUUAUGUCUAGUGGUGAUUUGUGGACAUUGCACCUUGUUUUAGGUCUGCUAGAGCUAGAAUACUGUCUGUUUUACCAUCACUUUGAAUUAUCAUAUCUCCUUUACUUCUUUUGAUGAUUGAAUUUGAAUGUAUCGUAUGUUAAGAGUUAUAAAUGUGCUGUCCUUUUUGAAAAUGAGUUAUGAUCAAUGGUACAAAUAUUCAACCGAUGAAUUUAUGGAGUUUGGGUACGAGUUAGCAUGGAAGAAAUAUGGGUAUAUGGUUAAUAUCUUUAUUUUUCCAUGCUUUAUUUUGUUAUGCAGGCAUACUUGCUGCCCAAACAGGUGUUUAUAGGACAUAUUGUAUGUUGUUGUUUUGCAC
rnacentral:lncRNA from 1 species